AUGAUGCUCUCCCGGCUUGCCCAGAGGAAGCAUUUCCCGCUUCCUGGAUCCCAGAUGGAUUUAACCAGAACCUGGGAGCUUUCAGGUCAGAAGGAGUUCCAAGAUAGCAUGGGGGAGUGUCAAGAGGAUGAAGCCAGCCUCUUCUCCGUGGUGCCCAGCAACAGGACAAGAGGCAAUGGGCACAAACUGAAGCACAGGCAGUUCCAUCUGAACCUGAGAAAAAACUUCUUCACUGUGAGGGUGACAGAGCAUUGGAACAGGUUGCCCAGAGAGGUGGUGGAGUCUCCUUCGCUGGAGAUAUUCAAAAGCCGUCUGGAUGUGAUCCUGGGCAAUAUGCUCUAGGUGACCCUGCUUGAACAGGAAGGUUGGACUAGAUGAUCUCCAGAGGUCCCAUCCAACCUAAACGAUUCUGUGAUUCUGUGAUUCACUUCCUUCUCAAUUCACGUUCUUCAAGAUAAUUCUUAGACUAAGACCUUUGAAAUCAUCUCUUUCUCAAGCUCCAAAAAACUUAUAAAGUGAAAGAAGUCAUUAAUGUCAAACUUGUUGUCAAGUAGUUAUUCAAACUGCCAAGUAACAGCAUGAUAGCAACAAAGAAUAACACCCAGUAUUUUGCAUAUGAAAUAUGUUGACCUUGCAUAGUUCUGACUCACACAAUAAGUACUUUUGUAACCAGUGUCCAGUUUCAAGUGUUUAUGAAAGAGAAUUUCCUCUGGAAAGAAGGUAAAAAAAUGAAAUUUAUUUCCAGUCUGCCUGAUGGUUAAGGUGUAUGUUUAAAAUAUUCUGACUGAAAAAAAAAAUCAGAUGCAUAUUAUUGUUAGAUAUUAUUUGCUUGCUUGGUCACUGAAGUUUUAAAGGACAAAUGACAGGCAUUCAGCAGAACAUUGGUAAGCUGUUCUACGUAGAGCUUUCCUUGUGGCACCCACAGUCAUUCGAGUGGAAAUGAGAGUCCAGACUGAACAAAUCUUUACGACAUGUUUACUGGCCAGCAGGUCACAACAAUUAGAAAAUGAAGCUGGAUUAAGGUAAAAACACAAACUAUAACAAUAGUCUACUUUUUUGGUCUCUUUUAGAUGCACAUUUUUCCUCUUCAGAUACUAGAGGGUUAAUUAUCGACAUAUUUCGAAUUGGACUCUGCCCGUGGCAGUGCUGUGUUACUGUGGGUGUCUCCAAGCUCCUUGCUAGAGCCUGCUUUGUGAAAAGGGUUUGUUGUUCUUCCAGAUAACAUCUCUGUUUUAACAUUGGAUGAAAAUAGAUGAUAGGGAUAUGCUUGCUCAGUUCUUCUGCACGUUUAUUUAGCAACAUAUGUUAGGAAAGUGGCACCCGUUGCUAAAAUGAAAAUAUCCAAUUCAUGUUGACAGCAGGAUCUGCCAGCUCUGGUUUUUUGGAUAUUUUUUUACCCGCGUUGCCAGUAGGCAGCAGAUGUACAGCAUGUUUGUUACUGAAAUCUCCCUGAAAAAAAAGGCAAAAAAGGCUCAAUGAGAACAAAAUGUGGUGAAGCAUCUCCUCAUUCAGGUGGUAAUUUUUUGUUUUAAAUAGAAUGCUAUACAUUAGGCAACAUGUCAACAUACCUAUAUCCCUAAAGUAGCGUGGAAUUUUAGGUCAUUUUAUUAUUCUUUUAUGUUAAUUGCCUUGUGACUGACAGACUUUGAAGUAGUGUAUUUUUCUCUUAACAUACAAGCUGGAAAAGUGCCCAAAGCAUUAGCUCAUCAACCAGCCAUUUGUACCUGCUGCUCACUGUCUACUACCGCUAAAUAUAUGCUAAUGAUGCUAUCUGAAUCUUGGGAGGAUCAGGAUGAAUUUGUAAAUUGUGCUCAUGCCAGGAAAAUGAAUGCUACUUACAAAGAUGACAAAGAAAGCAGCUGCUUUUAGAUGAGAUGAAUCACCACAUUACAUGUUACUCUUGGGUAAUAAAUUGUAUUUCCUCUCUUGAAAUCA
rnacentral:lncRNA from 1 species